CGGGGCGUAGCUCAGCCUGGCUAGUUUUUUUCCUGCUUUGGGAGCAGGAGGUCGCAUGUUCGAAUCAUGUCGCCCCGA
rnacentral:tRNA from 1 species